rnacentral:rRNA from 1 species
AUUGAACGCUGGCGGCGUGCCUAACACAUGCAAGUCGAGCGGUAAGGCCCUUCGGGUACACGAGCGGCGAACGGGUGAGUAACACGUGGGUGACCUGCCCUUAGCUCUGGGAUAAGCCUGGGAAACUGGGUCUAAUACCGGAUAUGACCUCAUGACGCAUGUUGUGGGGUGGAAAGCCUUGUGCGGCUAGGGAUGGGCCCGCGGCCUAUCAGCUUGUUGGUGGGGUGAGGCCUACCAAGGCGACGACGGGUAGCCGGCCUGAGAGGGCGACCGGCCACACUGGGACUGAGACACGGCCCAGACUCCUACGGGAGGCAGCAGUGGGGAAUCUUGCGCAAUGGGCGAAAGCCUGACGCAGCGACGCCGCGUGAGGGAUGACGGCCUC